UUUGGGAUCAACAGCCAGACGGUGUUCCAUGACUUCCGCAUCAAUCUCCAGCACGUCCGUCGGAACCCAAGCGAAAACAUCUGCAUUCUUUUGUAGAAAAUUGAUGAGCCGUGUCCAUACCUCUUCUCUCAGGUUGGAGCCGAUCUUUACCACAUGCUCUUCAUUCCCAUCAUUCAAAGAAAUUGAGACAAGAUCUUCAAUUGGCUACUCCGUUCUUCAGCAAGAUCGUUGCGGGUGUCUAAUCCAUCAAUCGGACAGGGGUCAGACUAACUAUUUCUUUGUAAGGCUAUGUUAUAGCAGUGUCUUGCCAGGACUUGAUCUCUUCUGACCUCUCCAACCCCUUGGCUUGUAGGAAAUUUCAAUUUCAAAUGGUAGGUCGAUACCA
rnacentral:lncRNA from 1 species